rnacentral:rRNA from 1 species
UACGGGGGGAGCAAGCGUUGUUCGGAUUUACUGGGCGUAAAGGGCGCGUAGGCGGCCACCGCAAGUCGACUGUGAAAUCUCCGGGCUUAACUCGGAAAGGUCAGCCGAUACUGCGGGGCUAGAGUGCAGAAGGGGCAACUGGAAUUCUCGGUGUAGCGGUGAAAUGCGUAGAUAUCGAGAGGAACACCUGCGGCGAAGGCGGGUUGCUGGGCUGACACUGACGCGGAUUGUGCGAAAGCUAGGGGAGCGAACGGG